CUUUAUCCUCAAGGUUGAAAAAGACGUGUACUAUAUCAUUGACACACUUGGGGAGAGGUUUUUUGAGGGUUGUAAUCAGGCAUAUAUCCUCAAAUUCGACCAAGAUACAACAAUUAUGCAAGUACCUAGUGAGUCUCAACAAUCAGAUGAUAAACCAUCUUGCGAUAGAAAAGAGAAAACCGAUGUCAAAGAGGCUGUAGAUGAAAGAAAAAUUGUCAUGAGCACCAACAGCGAUGACAGUAUGCAGGAAGACAGGGUACCUGAAAAGAACAUCAUUUAUAGAGGUAAAGAGGCAUGUAAAGUGUACAUUAAGAGUUUUUUGGCUGCAAUCCCUAUUAGGGAGUUACAAGUUGAUGUAAAGAAAGGAUUGAUGGCAUCGACACCCCUUCAUCAGCGCCUANNNNNNNNNNNNNNNNNNNNNNNNNNNNNNNNNNNNNNNNNNNNNNNNNNNNNNNNNNNNNNNNNNNNNNNNNNNNNNNNNNNNNNNNNNNNNNNNNNNNCAGAAUAAGCAACGAUUGGUAAAGCUUUACGAGUAUAUACAUAGCGCUAAUCCUUUUUGUUCUACAUACCAUUUAGGAAUUUUGACCUGGAGAGUCUCUUCUUUGUUUUCAUUCGUAUAUGAGUGUAACUAGCUCGUCGGUAUCUUCUUUGUCUUUUUUUCUUCGUACUCGAGGAAUGCUAAUGCUAAUGUAAAUGACUAUGGAACUGCUCAAGAGUACUUUUCUAUAGUUCUCUCAAAGAGGGAAGUUGAGAUAAAUGAAUAUGUUAGUUCUAUACUCCUCUUAAUUAUUAUUGUUUUGUUUUUAUUUGAAAACCAUCCCUAGUAGUUGAAGGUAUUCUUCCCCUUCACCAGUCAAACAAUUUUCGUCGACGCUGCUUUUGAAGAGGAGCCUUGGAUUAACCGGUAAAGUUGUUUCCAUGUGACCAGGAGGUCACGAGAUCAAACCUUGGAAACAGCCUCUACCAGAAAUGCAAGGUAAGGCUACGUACAAUACACCCUUGUGGUGGGGCCUUUCCCCCAACCCUGCGCAUAGCGGGAGCUUUAGCACAGCGGGCUGCCCUUUUCAAUAGUAAGAAUUAAGAAAGUAUACUUCACCAUCACACUGUGUACAUUAGGAGAAUCAUUUUUCUCUGGCUUUGGAUCAAGGACAAUUAUGCGUGAGCUCGAGUCGUCCAAAUCACUCAUUGGUACCUGAACAGCAGGAUAGGCUGACAAUAAAGUUUAUGUGUGACUUAUAGCUCACGAGUUCGAGCUACGAAGUCACACUGGCACUUGCACAUCCGUAUAGGUUGCUUACAUAUAUGCCAGUCAUAGGUUUGUGUCGUGGAAUCAGUUGUUGAUGGUGGCGGUUACACAAGUCUCCAUGGGAUCUAUAGGUCAUAGGUUUGAGCAUUGGAAGCACUGUUAGGGUAGGCUACUUACAUAUGCGUCGCUUUGUGACCUAUAAGUCAUUGGAAUGGGGCCAUAGAAUCGGCUUGCAUAAGGGUAGGUCGUCUAUAUUACACCCCCUUGCAGAGGCAGAGCUAGAUCAUUAGCUAAGAGUUAUAAAUAAAGCAUUGUAGUUCUUUCAAACAAGAACAAAAGUUACUUUUCAAAGAAAAUUUUUAGACAACAAUAGUCUUUGUAUACUUCUUUCUUCUUCUAAAUUGGCUGCAUCUAAAUUCAAACCAAGAUUUUUCAAAAAAAUAGAGUAAAGCAUCUACUAGCCCUAAACUAUGACCAAAUUUGCUACGACACACUCUAAAUUCAGGGGAUCCUAUUACCUCUGAACUCAAUUAUAGCGUAUUUUUGUCACUCUUUUGUGCUGACAUAGCACCAGAUCCAAAGGUGCCAGAGGAAGAAAGGGUGGCUCAAAGAAGAAGGCUGUUACCAAAUCAGUGAAAGAGCAGGUCUUCAGUUUCAAGUUGGUCGUAUUGCUCGUUACUUGAAGAAGGGUCGUUAUGCUCAGCGUGUUGGAUCUGGUGCUUCUAUUUAUCUCGCUGCUGUUCUUGAAUACCUUGCUGCUGAGGUACUAGAAUUACAUAAACUAAAAACCCCAUUUGAUUUUCUUCUCAGAUCUGUAAUUUUUUUACUUAUGUUUUUGUUUUUUUGGGUUCAUAGGUGUCGGAGUUGGCUGGAAAUGCGGCGAGGGACAACAAGAAGACGAGGAUUAUUCCAAGGCAUUUGCUAUUGGCAGUGAGGAAUGAUGAGGAGCUGGGAAAAUUGUUGGCUGGUGUUACUAUUGCAAGUGGAGGUGUUCUCCCCAACAUUGACCCAGUUCUGUUGUCUAAGAAAUCUACUGUUUCCGAGGAGAAGGCUUCGACACCAAAGGCCAAAAAGUCACCAAAGAAGGCUUAAGGGAUUGGAUUUUAGGGGUUUUAUGUUUGGGUUAAAUAUGCAACAAUCUUUUGUACAUUAAUGGAAGAGUUUUUGAAGACUAUUGUUGUUUGAAAAUAGAUGGAGGUACUUGCCACAGGUGUUAUGGAGGAUGUUGAUUUGCUUGUAUGCUUAUUGUUUUCGUAGUAACUACUAGUAGUUGAAGAAUUAUACCGUUGGCUCUCAAUGAAUUCACAUACUUGUGACUAGAUUACAGCGUUGGAUCCUUCUUUUUUUUAACAUGAUAUCGGAUUUACAAUCCGGGAAAAAGAAAUUGAACACUUUCUCUUUGUUUAUCACUGCAUUAUGGAUAGGAUUCUAGGUUCAGCUUUUCCCCCCUCCGGGAAAGAUUUCGAUUCAAUGCAACUGUGGAAACAUCUCUUUUGCUUUCACACCAAACCAGUCAUUAGCAAAAUCAAUGUUUUUUUCAAUAUUUUUUAUCCUUUUCUUUAUCUUCAAAAUUAGAUGCCAUAUCAAUAAUAAUAUGAGGAACGAAGUAAGUAGCUUUACAUGCAUAUUAGAUGAGGAAUACCAUUUACUACCUAUAUAAAAUGGGAUUCAUAUGCUUCUUUGUAUCUGAUAUGGAAAUGUGCAAGUUUGUAGCACAGAACGUCUAGUGUUUCACUUUAGUGCCAGCAAUACCUUCGUUUUGCUGAGUAGCUCUCCUUCAGUUCGUUUAUCUGUAGGUACGAAUCCUUUGUGUGGAGACAGGGGGCUCUUGUUGAACUAUUACAGCGACAUCGUCAUUGAAUUUCAUGAGAUGCCUUUAGGUGGUAUAGAGCACCUUGCGGACCAGCUAAAAUAUAAAGUUUUCCUAUUUGUUCAUUUGUUUUAGUGCUUGCAUCUUUUCUCCAGGAUUGUGGACUAGAAAGACUGAAGGUUGACUAUAGUUGAGACGUAUAAAAUUGAAAACUCUAUAUAAUUGACGGGCUUUAAGCAGCAACCUGUUCAGUUCCCAAGCAAAACUAAGUUGAUACUGCAAGAACUAAGAUGACAGACACGUCCAUAGCGAUUUUGUUAUCUGGCAAUAUACAAAGCAGUAACCUAUACAGCUAGAAGGUUGUUACUGAAGCCGACGUAUUCUUAUCUUAUAUAUACAUGCACACAGCAAGCUUGAUAUUCGAACAGGGUCAUCUCCCCACCAGUUGCUGCAUCAAACAGGCAUUGGUAGAAACUGCAUUUCCAAUUCACCGAAGCAUUAGUAGUUCAAUUCCAAAGAUGUGAUUUACUUGUCACAAAAGUUGGGACAACGUUGGCAUAAAGAAACAAAGACUACAAAGCGACUCAGUUGCGCCCGGAUUCAUCCGAAAGGUAUUUAGACUAACAACAUCACCUGCCAUCCAUGUCAAGAAUCACAACCGUAUUCUUUUGGUGACUAGAGGCCACAAUGUGCUGCUGGCAAAACACCAGAGUCUACAAAGUAUAUUGACAAAAAUCUCCAACUACACUCCUUGUCUCAAGAUAGUUGGCAUGUAUAGAUUUACACAUUAUCUCUUUAAUCCUGCUUACUUGAAUCUUGUUGGAUUAGUAUGAGAAUUAAUUACUAAGGGUAUAGUUGAACAAAAAAUACUCUCUAUUCCAUAUUAAUCGGCCAUCUUACUAAAAUAGUUGUCCUAUAUUAGUUGGUCAUCUUAUUAAAAUGGUUGUUAUAUAUUAGUUUUCCAUCGUACUAUAUCAACAAAACAUUGAUUAGAUUUUUUCAUAUUAUCUGUACAAUUACUUCUAUUUGAAACUGUUCACAUUUGCUUAUAAAGUUUUCAAAAAAAAAUUUUAAGGUGAAUUGGUAAAAAUUACCUUCUUAUUUAUUUAUCAUUUCUUAAUAUGCGUAUAAAAAAGAAAAUAGCCAACUGAUAUAAACUUUUUAGCAAUCAUGUUAUUCCCUUCGUUCCAUUUUAGUUAAUCGCCUUACUAAAAAUAAAUUCGUAUCUCAUAUUACUCUCUUCGUUUCGUAUUAGUUGGCCUUCUACUCUUGAUAAGAAUAUUAAAUACAUUCACAGUUUUCAAAAUUAUUGAAUGAUGCAUAAAUGAUCUCAAUUCUCAAACAAAAAUUAAAUGAUUAUUACUAGUUUCAAUUAUAAAUACUCAAUGUUCUAGACGUAAUGCAUUAGAUGGAGUAAUAUAUUUAAAUUUCAUUCUUUAACAGUGGCAUUAGUUAUUGCACAGGGUAAAUAUAUAUUGUUUUUCUAAGGUUUGGUAAAAUCUGUCUCUUUCAACAAUAACUUCAACACAUGUUCAAAUUAACAUAUGAGCAAUCAAAUGAAGUUUAUAUUUAUAACUUUGAACUUUUAACAAUAAGUUCAUCCCAACUUUUGAACAUCAACAAAAUAAAGUUCAAACUAUUUUCUGAAAAAUAGCAAAAUCAAAUGUUAAGAACUUAAACACUAGUCCAACCAACUUAUGAACUAUCAAAAUGAAGUUUCAAGAACUUAAAAUAGAAAUUCAAACAGUUGAAGAACUGUCAAUAUGAAGUUCAAACUACUUAUUGAAAAAAACAGUAAAACCAACUUUAAGAAAAUGAGAUGAAACAGAAAGAUUCAAGUCCACCGAAUUCACGGUGUGUUCUUAAGGAAAUUAUUCCCUCAAGUACCCAAGAUUAUGGAAUAUAUCCUCCCAGAAUAAAAUGAAUUAAUUCGACAGAAUAGUGGUACAUCUCAAAUUCUGUUGAGCUACGAACCACUCAACGGUAAUAAAUCAUACUAGAGUUUUUUCAAGAAAGGAGUAUUUUUUCUUUAAAAGUUCAUGUCUAUGCUUGAAGAAGAAUUCAGGUAUUUAAAACCAUCAAAGUGUUGUUUCAUGAAGAAAAACAAUGGUUCAAAAAGGUGCACUCCUUUAUAAAGGUGCAACUCUUCGAAAAAGGUACAACUCUUCAAAAAAUUUACAACUCUUGGGAAAGGUCAUAACCAUCCAAUCCAAAAAGUUAUCUAUUCAAAUUGCAUCUUUCUCUUGGUGUAAUUUCGAAAGAAACAACUAUUUAGCUCGGAAUCCCCAUUUGCUGCCCGAAAAUAGGUGAGCACUUCACUUCUUUGCAUUUUUUGUUCACACUUGAAUAUCAUAAAUAUGGAAUCUUGCAAUAACUAAGAGUUAGACCGGUCUGGUUACAUUAUUGUGAGUAUGUUGGUAUGUGGAUUGUUUUGAGUUUUAUAAAAAAAGUAUUGUUCAACAGUAUGUCAUGCUCGUGAAAGCUUUAUCAGUAUCUCAAGCUCGUGAAGGCUUCAUCAGUAUGUCAUGCUCGUGAAAGGUUCAUCAUUAUGUCAUGCUCGUGAAAGCUUCAUCCUUUCCUGCAAUUUUCUUUACGUGUUUGAUGUUAUAGAAAAGUUCUGAAUUGUGUUGUUGCCGGAAUUGAUUGAUUUUAUAUGAGUUUCUUUGAUCAAUUUUUAGUAUGGGCGCACUGUUUAAAACAAAAUCAAAACUAGUUUUUACUAUGGUUGUUCAUGUUUCCUCUUAAUGUCAAAGUUGAAAAAUAUUGUAAAUUCUAUUCUAAUUUCUUGAUUGAUUUUAGUAUGUUAAAUUUGUAUUCUCUUCUUAAUCUUCCUGUGCUGAGAUUAGUGGUUUUCAUUCCAGUUUUCGGAAAGGUUCAUUGCGUGAAGUUGACUGUUGUUCAAAUUUAAUUGUGCUAUGAUUUAGAAUUUUCAUUAAUUAAUCUUCUCUCUAUUCGUUACUCAUCGGCGUUAGUAUUCUACCUCUUGAAAAUGAGUGGAAAAUAGGUGUGAAAACCUUCCCCGAACGUUAACAAGAGUGGACUUGCGUUUGAUUGCAUCUAAAUAAGAAAAUACCCCUCUUUUUUUGGAAACUAUAAUCAAAUCCAAAGGCCUCCUUGUUUACUAGUCGUCUAUGGAUUAUGUUCAUGUUUCUGUUGUUGUACUAUACGUAAAUUCUUUUAUACUUGCCUAAAUUUGUUGGGUUUGGUACGAGGCUAAUUAUUAUCUUAUUUCCUAUGCAUGAACUUCUGUUGUGAGUCCAUCGGACAUUAUAUCCAUUUCCAUCGAGUCAAACUCCAUGUUAAAGUCACAAAAAUUGAAUUGAGAGACAAGAAACAAGAUUGUAUGUGCGUGUAUACAACAGAUAUACAUAAAUAUUUGGCAAAAAUGAAUGAGUAAGCUUAUUAUACCGUGGGAGGACUAAAGACGCGUAUAUAUGACAGAGAUACAGUCGGAUAUACAUCGUAUAUACAUGAAUCGCAGCAAAGUAACGUUGUUGUAUACAACUGAUAUACAUGGAUAAAAAUGGACUGAAGUUCAUAAUUCAAAGUCCAAAGUUGAACAGUUUAUUGAUGGGCUAAUUAAGGGCCCAAUUUUAAUUCUUGUAUUCAUUUUUUGUAGCUUAUAUUGUUUAUUUGUAUUAAAUAACGUUUUAAUGAAUUAAUCUAGAUAAAUUUCCUAAGGUGUUGUCAUUUUAUUUUAUCCUAGUUUUCUCUUACUUAAUUCAUAAUUUCUUCACCUAAUUUAUAUUAUCUAAAAUGAAUUAAAUUGAUUCCUUUGAUUUUCUCCAUAAAACAAGGCUUUUAAAGAUUAAGUAUUUUAUUUUAAAAUGACAUUUGCUUUGUUCGUGUAAUUAAUGAUUUAUUUUAAAUUAAAGUAAUUAAUUUUCAGAUCUGAGAAACUAAUUUCUUUUAAAAAUUAACUUUUCAAAAAUUAGCAAAACACCUUUAAUUUAAUACUCUCUCAACAUUUCUUCCAAAGGUAUUUUCCAUCACAAAAAAUGACUUUUCUAUAAUAUUAACUAAUAAUAAGAAAACAAUUUUACAACCUUCUUCUUUUCCACAAAAGCAAAAUUCAUUUUCCUAUUAAAUCAAAGAAUGACAACUUAGUUUAAUUCAAGUAGAAUAUUUCUCGUUUGAAUAAAUAAUAUUUUUAAAUAUUUAAAUAAAUAAUUUUAAUAUUUUCUAUAAAAUUAAGUCUUUGCAAAAAGUAGCUACUUUUAAUUAGUCAAAUUAGUCAUUUUCGUACACCAUUUUAAACGGACGCUCCUAAGUGUCUUAAAAGUUUCUUAAUUAGAACAUUAAUUGAACCCUUACUCAGUUUCUCUCAUUUUAAAGAUUUGUUUCUGUUUUUGAAACUUAGAAAUUUCCUCAAGUUUACUUGAUAUUCUUCUAUAAAAAUCAAGUGGCGAUACUGUGAUUUUUCUUAGAAUUAUUUAGAAAUUUUCUUGAAUUUUUUGAAAUAGUUUUAAGAGGUCAAAAUCAUUUUCUCGCCAAAUGAAAUUCAAAAAGGAUAAAACAACUGGAGCGACAGUAGGGACUGUUUUGCACCGUUUUAAUGUUUUCAAGAGGGUAUUUGAGUCCUUUUCCACCACAAACUCCUCCCUCAUGACCUAGAUCAUUCACUAAACGUUAUUAGCCAUUACUAAUCAGUUUUAAACAUUCAUAAUCCUCUCUCCUCCCAAGAGAAAAAUUAGGGCUUUUCCAAGGCGCAUAUUUCCAAGAUAAGAUUUCAAGUUAUUUUGAAUUUCUAUUCAUCAAAAAGGGUACGUAGAACAUCCUAAAUCUUAUAAGGUUGAGUUAUAAUAUUUUAAUCUCUUUUAUGAGUUGGAAAUUUGAGAAUUUUCUAUAUAACAAGAGCAUGAAUUUCAAAACUUGCAUCCAACCUCAAUUGUGCAUUCUUACGAGUUUAUCUAUAUAUAUGUACGCAUGAAUUUGUGAUUUUGGAAAGAGAUGAGGUUGUGCGCAUUUUUCCUUGCCCAAUUAUCUAUGUGCAAGGUUUUCUAUGGUUAUGGUAUAUUUUGGUGUUGUUUUUAUUUUUCAAUGGUGGUUGAUUGAAUACGAUUGAAAAGUGUAAUCUUUCUCUUAAAGGCUUAAACAAAUUCCAUGAAUGUGUAUGCUUAACCAGACCACCAUGAUUACUAAAGGAUUUUAUUUAUGUGCCUAUGAAAAAGUUGGCCACCGGAUGUAAAGUCUUUAAAAGAGAGCGUUUUGCAUAAGUUUCAUAUGUUUUAGAAAAAAGUGCUCUCAUGUGAUAUGCAUAUCUUUUGGUGGUCAUUAACAUACUUUUGAAUGAGAAGAGAUAUGAAUUUGAUAUGAUAUGGCUUGCAAGUCUAGGUAUGACGGUGCCUAUUAUGAAGUACCCUUGACAUGAAAGUAAAUGAACAUUUUUAAGCAUGACACAUGAAUUUAAAGGACUAAAAUUGAACUUAAAGAGAGUUAGAUGAUUAGCUGAAUAAGGCAUUUGAGAGUGUUAAGGGCUCAUUACUAGAAAUCAAAUGGGCGCCGGUAUACUAGAAUAGUAUGUAAAACCCCUAUCCUUGCGAUAAACUUGGAUUAGGGGGCUUGACCGAUGAGUUAAUGAAGGAUUCCAUAUACCCCGGGGGAUUUUAGAAAUGCAGGGUUUACCGUCUAAUUCAAAAGUAAUUAAACUAUUAAAAAGUGGAGUCCAUGUGUCAUAAGAAUGUGUUGAAGCUCAAUUAGUUAUAUCCAUGUGUUUUGAUCUUUACUAUGUUUAAUUGCUUUUCAUAAGCUCUUGAUUCUUUUAUAUAAAGUGUGUGUUUGUGUAUAUAUAUAUAGUAUUUUUGGACUGUUUACGUACAAAUAUAUUUCAAGUAUUGACCAUCCUCGUGGCGGCUGCAUUGUCUCAUAAUGUAGGGUCUGAGGCACAAUUUUGCGAUCCAGUUCAGCAGCAGUAGAUUGCACCAAAAAUCUAUUGUUGUUGGCUGGUGUUACUAUUGCAAGUGGAGGUGUUCUUCCCAACAUUAACCCAGUUUUGUUGCCUAAGAAAUCUACUUAGGAGUUUAGGAGUUUUAUGUUUGGGUUAAAUAUGCAGUAAUCUUUUGUGCAUUGAUGGAGUAGUUUUUGAAGACUGCAGGAUAAAUCUUGAGGGAUUGGGGUGCAUUGUUGUUUGUAGAAUUGCUUAAUACCUCUUAUGAUAAAAUAGAUCGAGGUACAUGGCAUAGUUGUGAAGGAGGAUGUUAACUUGUUUGUAUGCUGAUUGUUUUUGUGGUAACUAGUAGUGUUUGCAGAAUCAUACCGUUGGCUCUCAAUCAAUUCCCAUGCUUGUGAUUAUCUUUGUUCUCUUUCACAUAUGAACGUGUCAAUCUUGCAAAUCAGAUAUCUUUUGGUUGAUCAAUGCGUUAAGUUUUGAAAGUUUGCCUUGUGUUUGAGGUUACUGUGGUGUAUUCUGAUUUUAUAACUGUAAAGAUGAAAUCUAGCGAGUCUACUUUCAGCUACAUUUAGCUUAGGCGUUGCAGUGUUUUGAGUAUAUGAAUAUCAAUGUCUUUCGAAUUUUUUUAUCCUUCUCUUUAUCUUGAAAUUUAGAUGAUAUUGCACUCUUAAUAUGAGGAACAAUGUAAGUGGCCUCCUAAACAUAUUAGAUGAGAAUACCAUUUGCUACCUGUAUAAAAUGGGAUUGACAUGCUUCUAUGUAUCUGAAAUGGAAAUGUAUAAGUAGUACAGAACGUCUAGUGUAUCACUUAGUGCUAGCUGUCACGCCCCUUUUUCAUACUCCAAAGAUUAUAUUUUAAGGGUCGAAAGGGUUUUAAUUAUUAAAGUGACAUUAUUUCAGAUACAUCACUUAAUUUUACACUGAUAUAUCACAUUCUUUCAGAUACAUUGUUUAAUUUUACACGAAUACAUCACAUUCUUUCAAAUACAUCACUUAGUUUUACACAGAUACAUUACAUCUUUGGUCAUAUACCAAUGAGUUUUAAAGAGACUAUGGAAUGAGAUGUAAUUAAAUAAAUAUUCUAAGCUAAAUAGUGUUCGCUUAAGAAUGAAGAAUUUCGAUUUUGUUGGCAAUUCUUAGUUUAGAAGGAUAAGAUAUUAUUUAUAACAAAACUUACUCUUAAAAGUAGCAUUUUUUUUUCUCCCUUAAAUGUGAAGUAAUUCACCAUUUUUUUUUUAAAUCACUAUGCAAAUAAUGACUUUUAUUUUUUUCUUUUUAUGCUUUAUGUCUGUUUUAAGUACUCGAUUAAUGUGAAUUCAUUAAAUUUGUUGUUAGGGUCAAGUGUUCCCAAAUAAUAACAUAAUCUUGAAUGUAGAAUCGAUUUUUUUUUUUAAUUGUAAAAUAAUUUAUCAAAAUGAAAAGUGAUAAUGGAGAAAAGUGAAAAAAAAUUAAAGGAAAGUGUUGUUCUUGGGUGGUGUUGUUAAUGGAGAAAAGUAAAAAAAAUUAAAGGAAAGUGUUGCUCUUGGGUGUUGUUGCUAAUGGAGGAAAGUGAAAUAAAUUUGAGGUUGUUAAUGGAGGUUUGAGUGUUGUUGUUGAUGAUAAUUUGAAGAAGAAAGAAGAAAAAAUUGUCCAUUUUUCAUUUUAAUUUUAAUUUUAAUUUUAUUUUUUUUAAAAUUAUUUUCUUGUCUGUUUUAAGUACUCGAUUAAUGUGAAUUCAUUAAAUUUGUUGUUAGGGUCAAGUGUUCCCAAAUAAUAACAUAAUCUUGAAUGUAGAAUCGAUUUUUUUUCUUUAAUUGUAAAAUAAUUUAUCAAAAUGAAAAAGAAUAAUAAUAAUAUUAAUAAUAACAACAACAACAAUAAUAAUAAUAAUCACGGUACAAAAAUAAUCCUGUUUUAAUUUUUCACCUAAUUUUCAUCCUCUCUUAGCUCUUAUGUCCGACUAAUGCGAAUUCAUAUCGGAAAAAUCUUGGUAGACCUCUUCCUACUAAAGAAGAGUUAUACAUUAUUUUAGAAGGAUAUUAUCUUAUCUUUAAUAAAGUGUACUAUCCCUAGAAUGUACCCUUGCAUUUUUUUCCCUCACAUGUAAGUCAAUUCACCAAAAAAACAAAAAAGAGAAAAGACAUCUUUUUCCUCUUGAACUUGUUCUCUAAACUCACUUUAGCACUUAAACUUAACCUCCGUUUAUUUAUCCCCCUUAACAUCUUUAAGUUAUUUGUUUCACCCCUCAAAACUGAAUACCACUCUCACAACGGAGAGUGGGUUACACACGCGUCAUGUUAGUGCCACAUCAGUGUUAGGUCAUUGCCACGUAAGAAAUUAGGAUUUUAAAAAAAAAAAUUCCACAAACAUACUAUUUUUAUGUAUUUUUGUUUUAAAAAGCAAAAAAUAUAUAUUUAUGAUUUAUAUAUAAAUAUUAAAUAAUAUAUAUAUAUAAUAGAAAAUGCCCCACCCCCACCCCAUUUUCAUUUAAAUAAUAUAUAUUUUAUAUAAUUAUUUUUAUUNNNNNNNNNNNNNNNNNNNNNNNNNNNNNNNNNNNNNNNNNNNNNNNNNNNNNNNNNNNNNNNNNNNNNNNNNNNNNNNNNNNNNNNNNNNNNNNNNNNNNNNNNNNNNNNNNNNNNNNNNNNNNNNNNNUUCCAGCCCUCGCCCCAUCCGUCAUUCUUUCUCCCCUUUCAGCCCCACCCCUACCCCACCCUUUCAGCCCCCCACCCUCCACCCUCUUCUUUCUUAUUCAAACACAAAAUACUUUCAUCAAGUUAAAAUUAUUUUUUUAAAAUUGUCUUAUUAACAAAAAAAUUCAAAAGUAAAAAUCAAAAGAAAUCUGAUUGAUGAUAACUGAUUCAAAAAGAAAAUCAUAUUUAAUUUUUAUCUAAAUUUUGAGCGAGUUGAAUUGAAGGCUGAGAUGAUGUUCAAUGGAGAAAAUUAUUUAAUAGUGCUUUCAUGUUUGUUCUUGGGUGGUGUUAAUGGAGGAAAGUGAAAAAAAUUAAAGGAAAGUAUUGUUCUUGGGUGGUGUUGUUAAUGGAGAAAAGUGAAAAAAAUUAAAGGAAAGUGUUGUUCUUGGGUGGUGGUGUUAAUGGAGAAAAGUAAAAAAAUUAAAGGAAAGUGUUGUUCUUGGGUGAUGUUGUUAAUGGAGAAAAGUGAAAAAAAAAUUAAAGGAAAGUGUUGUUCUUGGGUGGUGGUGUUAAUGGGGGAAAGUGAAAAAAAUUUGAGGUUGUUAAUGGAGGUUUGAGUGUUGUUGUUGAUGAUGAUUUGAAGAAGAAAGAAGAAAAAAUUGUCCAUUUUUUAUUUUAAUUUUAAUUUUAAUUUUUUUAAAUUAUUUUAUUAUAUUUUAGAUAUAAUGUUACUGAAAUUAAUUUUUUUAAUAAAUAAACGCGCCCCUUUUUUUAAGAAAAUGCCACGUCAGCUUUAGGGUCAAACAAAUACACUUUAAAGAUGUUAAGGGGGGUAAAUAAACAGAAGUUAAGUUUAAGUACUAAAGUGAGUUUGGAGGAUAAGUUCAGGGGGAAAAGAUGUCUUUUCUCAUGUAUAUAUGUACUAGUUUAGGUGUACGCGCCUUGCGCGUGUAUCUCACUUUAAUGAGUUCAAAUAUUAGCCUAAAUAGGAUAUUUGUUUAAAUAAUAAAGAUGAAUAUAAUAAUUAAAUUUAAUAUCUUUUGAGUCUGUAAAGAUGGAGAAUUUAUUUAUUAAACCUAAUCUUUACCAAAAUAUUUUUAAAAGUCGAUCGACAUUCAUCUACCAUCUAUAAAUUGUAAUAAAAUAAUACAAUGAUAGAGAUAUCAAAAUAACACAAUUAAAUCUAAUCUUUAUACGCAAACCUAUGUCCUAUCUAAUCAUCUCUCUUCAAUAUUUCACCGACCUUUAUCAACCUUUCCUCAAUCUUAACUAAGGGGUUUCAAAAUCGAAAAAUAUGAACGAAAGAACUAGUCGAAGGGGGUUCAACGUCUCCAUUAUAUACAUGAAAAAUCAUUUUAAGCUUGUAUAAAUAGUAGUAUAAUAUUCUGUCGAAGGGAGUUUGAAUGAACCCCUUCACUAUUAGUUAGCUUCCCCCAUCUUUCCUCAUACCCAUUAUAUUCGACCUCUUAUACCACAUGUAAAAAGUAAAAAAAAAAAACGAAAUCAAGCGUGACAAAUAAAAGUAAAUCGAAAUAGUAUAAGAUAUAGAGGAGCUGUUUUGAUAUGCCAUAUAAGGAAAUUAAUCAUUUUCUCACCGUAAAGCUUGGGAUUAGCUAUAUCUCAAAAUUAUUUUAUUUCACUAUUUAUAGUAAAUCGAAAUAGUAUAAGAUACUCCAUGAGUUAUUUUGAUACGCCAUAUAAGGAAAUUAAUCAUUUUCUCACCGUAAAGCUUGGGAUUAACUAUAUAUCAAAAUUAUUUUAUUUCACUAUUUAUAGUAAAUCGAGAUAGUAUAAGAUAUAGAGGAACUGUUUUGAUACGCCAUGUAAGGAAAUUAAUUAUUUUCUCACCAUAAAACUUGGGAUUAACUAUAUCUCAAAAUUAUUUUAUUUCACUAUUUAUAGUAAAUCGAAAUAGUAUAAGAUAUAGAGGAGUUGUUUUGAUAUGCCAUAUAAGGAAAUUAAUCAUUUUCUAACAGUAAAGCUUGGGUUAGCUAUAUCUCAAAAUUAUUUUAUUUCACUAAUUAUAGUAAAUCGAAAUAGUAUAAGAAAUAGAGGAGUUGUUUUGAUACGCCAUACAAGGAAAUUAAUCAUUUUCUCACUGUAAGCUUGGGAUUAGCUAUAUCUCAAAAUUAUUUUAUUUCACUAUCUAUAGUAACUACUGUUUAUCUCAUCACGUACCGAACGACCCGGUGUCUACAAGCACAAAAGAGUGAUUUUUAUUGUAUUUUCUUGUUUUGGUCUCAUAGUCUUAUAGUAAUCUUGGAUCACUGUAGUCUUUUUGAGACAAAAAGUGAUCUUUCUUGGUAUUUUCUUGUUUUGUGUCAGUGAAAAAAAUAUACAUAUAUAUAUAUAUAUAUAUUUUUGACAAUCGUAGUGUUCGCGCNNNNNNNNNNNNNNNNNNNNNNNNNNNNNNNNNNNNNNNNNNNNNNNNNNNNNNNNNNNNNNNNNNNNNNNNNNNNNNNNNNNNNNNNNNNNNNNNNNNNNNNNNNNNNNNNNNNNNNNNNNNNNNNAUUACUGUGAAUUGCCUUAAAGGUUUCAACUUUUUGUUAAAUGAGAAAAUGGGGGUCCAAGAUUUUGAUAGAUUAAGAGUUGAAAUUAAGUGGAAGGGAUCAUCAAAGGGUAUUUCACUGAAUUUGGGGUCAUUUAAUAGGAGAAGUGUAAAGAAGAGUUUUACUAAAGAAGAGUGUUUGAAGGAAGAUGAAGGGAUUGUUGAAUGGAAUGAGAAGUUUUUGAGUCUUUGUAACUUUUCAGGUUGGAAAGAUGGUGUUUUUCAACCUUGGGAAGUUGUCUUUACUAUGAUCAAUGUGUGUUUCUUGAUUUUUAAUUUUAUUAGUCGUCGUAGUAUUGCUCCUGUAGUUUUUUGUCCUUCGAUUUCUGUUACUAUACAAUAUUUUUUGUAUCUCAAUUAUCUUAUUGUUUUGUUAUAGUUUUUUUUUUUUUAUAAUAUUUGUUUUUUUUUUUAUAGUUGUUGACUGUUUUGAACUGUUUUUUUUUCGGCCACUGAAAACACUCUCUAACUUUGAGAUAGGGGUAAGGUCUGAGUACACUACUCUCCCUACCCUUCCCAGACCCCCACUUGUGAGAUUUCAUUAGGUGUGUUGCUGUGGAUUUUGGCUGUUGAGUGAAAUUGAAAAAGAAUUUUUAAAAAAUUAUCUUUGGGUUUUCUUAUGAAAUAAGAACUCUGAAUCCAAUUCUAGGGAAUUUGAUUACUUCCUAAUAUUAGUGGAACUAUGCAUUCAUUUCUCCUUGAGAAGGUUUAUAUACAGUCAAACCUCUCUAUAACUGCAUCGCUUGUUCGGAUUUUUUUUACUUCUAUAGUGGAAUAUUGUUAUAGAGAACAUAUAAUAUAACACAACAUGAAAAAUCAGUCCCACAGAAAACUUGCCCGUUAUAGUGACAUGUUGUUGUUGAAGAUCUCUGAUAUAGUGAGGUCUGGCUGUUAUUGAGAACUGUAUGUUAUCUGACUAUCUAGUGCUUGUACCUUUGUUGUCUUGAAAUUGGGUGCUAUUUGUAUUGUUUUACGAAUCCUGGUUAUGUUAUACAACUUCUUGGGAUGAUAAAUUUCUUGAAUUUUCGCAAAUUAGGAUACUUAUUUUUCCUUUUAUUGGUUAGGUUGAUGCUUAGUUUUGAUUAUUUAAUCAUGGUGAUUCAGUAUAUUGAAGCAUCAUUUGUAUGAGCCUCUCCAGAGGACAUGUUAAACAAGAGAAGCUUAAUAAAAUUCAUCAUCAAUAUGGUUUUUACUGAGUUUUAUUACUCCUAGAGUACUAGUGGCUUAGUGAGUUUAACAGUGGCAAAGCCAAGAAUUUCGCCUAAAGUGUCCAAUAUAUAUACACAGUAUAAUUUUUCGACAUGCUACUGGAGUAAAAUGAGUUUUAAAUUUGUUAUAUUGAUGUCUAAGAAACUGUUACUGACAUGUGCUGGGAGUCAGAAGCUUUUUAAGACAUCUGGAAUGUAAUGAUUGCCUUUCAAUGGAUCCACUUUCUGAGCUUGUGGGGUUCAUAUAUUUUGAUGUUAUAUGGUGGAUGGUGAGACCUACUGUAUUCAUUCAUAUUUUUCUCUUAGACAUAUACAGCUGUGCUUUCUGGAUAAGGAAAAAAGAAGCAUUAUGGGCAUAGUCUAUUAUUAAAUAAAAAUGAUAGCAAAUGAUUAGGCCCCUUGAGGAUUAUGCCUUCCCAAAGUUGUUUUGGUGUGCAUCCAACAAUUGGUUUUUAAGGNNNNNNNNNNNNNNNNNNNNNNNNNNNNNNNNNNNNNNNNNNNNNNNNNNNNNNNNNNNNNNNNNNNNNNNNNNNNNNNNNNNNNNNNNNNNNNNNNNNNNNNNNNNNNNNNNNNNNNNNNNNNNNNNNNNNNNNNNNNNNNNNNNNNNNNNNNNNNNNNNNNNNNNNNNNNNNNNNNNNNNNNNNNGGUAUGAUGAUGACAUGUGUUGAGCUUAAAUGGAAUAGUAAAUUCUUAUAUCUCAACUUGUUUAUGGCUGAAGCAAGUUGUUCUUCUUCCAUAGGCACUACAUUGGCCUUAGCUGCAUGUUCGUUUGACUGCUUUGAACCUAUCGUUCAUGAUAAUCGUGUGUUUUCCAAUCCACGGGUGUAUUAUUUCAUGCUUCUAAUCCUUUAGUUUUGGUUUUAUGUUUUCAUCGACACUAAUUUCUCUAUUGAACACGUUGUCUUUGUGUUCGAUUUCAUUGUUCAUUUACUCCCUUCUUUGUAUUUAUUCAUACUUCUGCUGAAUCAGGGUACAAGCAAAGGACCAAAUCAGAAGGUACCCAUACUUUCUGCUGCGAUAUUGAAUCUUGCAGACUUUGCUUCAGUAGCUGGAAAUAAACAAUACGGCAUUGAAAUUUUCAUUCCUUUGGAAGUCUUUGUUGGCAGCUUCAAGAGUUGCCUUUCACUCUGUGUAAGAAAAACUAAAACACAUGCUUUUUGCUUGCGUUCUGGUAUUCCUGCAGGUACGUGAAUAUAUUAUCUAAUGCGACUGUUCCUAAAGAUAUGUUCAUAUAUUUGUUGACAGCUAGUGCUCAACCUUGUGGAAUUGAGGAACACUCACGAAGCUUCAGAGACAUUUUCGAAGUUUAUCAUGUCUUGUCCAGUAUCUCCGAACCCUGGAAAGGCUUUGUUGACAGACAGAAAUGGGCAUGGUUCUUUAAAAGCAGGUCUGCGAAAGUUUAAAUUUUUGAAAGCAUUAUCUUUUAGGCGACACAAGAAGGCAUAUAAUGCAGAGGAAGGAAGCAGCAUUGAUGGAAGGAACUCAGUCAGAAGUGAGGAUCCCGAUUAUGUUUAUCCUGUGGAUACAGAUUCACUUGAUGAGGAUUCGGAAGGAGAAUCUGAGGAAGGAAAAGAGGAUACAAGUGUUCAGAAGUCAUUCAGUUAUGAAGCACUUGUCUAUGCAAACCAUGCUGGUGGAUCAUUUUGUUCAAAUACAAGCGGCAGCAGCAGUGACGAGGAUUUAGUCCACUACAGCCACCAUAUAUCAGACACAAGGCACAAGUACCCUGAGGAUACAACUGCAGCAAAUCAAUCUGCAGAGCAGAGUUCAAAACAUAGCCUUCUUUCCUGGAGGAAGAGGAAGUUGAGUUUCAAAUCUCCUAAAACCAAGGGGAAGCCAUUGUUGAAGAAACAUUAUGGAGAGGAUGGUGGAGACGAUAUAGACUUUGAUCGCCGACAGCUUUGCUCAUCCGACAAGUCUUCUUCUAGGGUACGUCUCCUUUUUUCUUGCGUUCUUUGUCAUGUUUGACAAGUCAUUUUUUAUCUUCAUGUCAUGGUCUGAUCAGCGUGCAAUAACUUGUACACCAAUGUGCUUGGCGAAUUGAAGAUUACAAAGUUUGGUAGCUUUCUUUAGUAGCUUAGUCUACUUGUACAUUUGUAUCAAGUAUCUAACUGUUGAGGUUUUCUUGCUCAUGAUUGAAGAUAUAUGUCAUAACUAGUCCUCUUACUAAUGUGUGUAGUUCAUACAGGGGCACAAAUCCGAGGAAACUUCUCUAAUUUCAGUCUCUGAGUUUGGAGAUGAAAUUUUCGUUGUGGGUAGUUGGGAGCAGAAGGAAAUAAUAAGUCGUGAUGGACAAAUGAAGCUGCAGACUCCGAUCUUCUUUGCUUCGAUUGAUCAAUGAAGUGAACGAGCUGCUGGUGAAAGCACUUGUACAGCCUUGGUUGAUGUCAUAGCUAGAGAGAUCUUUGUGAAAACGAGACCUAUAGGGAACGUUUCCCAGAUAAGCAUUUUGACCUCGAGACAGUUCUCGAGGCUAAAGUGCGUCCUCUCUCAGUAGUCUCAGAAAAAUCAUUCAUUGGGUUCUUUCAUCCUGAAGGAAUUGAAGAAGAGGAAGGAUUCCACUUCCUUCAUGGUGUCAUGUCUUUUGACAACAUAUGGGACGAUAUUUCUAAGUCCGCUCAAGAAACUCCUCGUCAUGGUGACUCCUGUGUUUACAUUGUGAGUUGGAAUGACCACUUCUUUAUCCUCAAGGUUGAAAAAGACGCGUACUAUAUCAUUGACACACUUGGGGAGAGGCUUUUUGAGGGUUGUAAUCAGGCAUAUAUCCUCAAAUUCGACCAAGAUACAAUAAUUAUGGAGUACCUAGUGAGUCUCAACAAUCAGAUGAUAAGCCAUCUUGCAAUAGAAAAGAGAAAACCGAUGUCAAAGAGGCUGUGGAUGAAAGAAAAAUUGUCAUGAGCACCAACAGCGACGACAGUAUGCAGGAAGACAGGGCACCUGAAAAGAAAAUCAUUUAUAGAGGUAAAGAGGCAUGUAAAGAGUGCAUUAAAAGUUUUUUGGCAGCAAUCCCUAUUAGGGAGUUACAAGUUGAUGUAAAGAAAGGAUUGAUGGCAUCGACACCCCUUCAUCAGCGCCUAUAAAUCGAGUUCCACUACACAAUGAGCUUUGUCCCCAAGUUUGAGGAGUCGUCUUCAGAAGAACUGAUUGCUAACAGUUUGGCCAUAGUACCAUCGGUAGCAACAGAAUAAGCAACGAUUGGUAAAGCUUUACGAGUAUAUACAUAGCGCUAAUCCUUUUUGUUCUACAUACCAUUUAGGAAUUUUGACCUGGAGAGUCUCUUCUUUGUUUUCAUUCGUAUAUGAGUGUAACUAGCUCGUCGGUAUCUUCUUUGUAUUUUUUUCUUCGUACUCGAGGAAUGCUAAUGCUAAUGUAAAUGACUAUGGAACUGCUCAAGAG
rnacentral:lncRNA from 1 species